rnacentral:tRNA from 1 species
AUUACUUUGGCAGAAUAGUGCAAUAAAUUUAGAAUUUAGUAAAAUAUAAUGAUUUAGUUAUAUAAGUAAUA